CCUCAUCUGACUUGGCCAGCGUUGGCCUAACCUGUUGUCCUGUCAUCAUGAUGUAUUGACCUGAUCUGUUAGCAUUAUUAAAAAUGGGCCUCUCCUGGCUGAUGUUGUGUUAUAAUUUACAGAGACCAUCUCAAAAUUUCAUCCCCUAAGGGAGGAGGCACCUCACCUGUAUUUACUGCUCCUCUUUAGGAUCCCGGGGAACACAGGGGAACCCACCUUUAUUCACUUGUCCUGUGUGAACCCAGGACUGAGAAGUCCUGUCCUGGGACAGUGCCUACUUUUCCCUAAACAAAGUGGCUGACUCAGAGUUCCCUGAAUUUAUUCUUUCCUGCUAUCAUGGAUGGAAACAAAAACAUAUCUCUCCUUGGUGAAUAUCUAUCCUUGGUAUAUAAUUAAUAGAAGAAACAAAAGACCUGUUUAUAUGAGAUGCCCCACUUACUCAAGACAAGUGAACGUAUGCUCUUCUAGUCACCUUGCUUUUGCUCUAUAUACCUGAAAGUCUUUUGAGAAUUGUCUUGAACCCACAUUCUUUCUCUGGCUUGACUUGUUCGAAUUAAUGCCCAAAUGGUCAAAGUUUGGCUCAGGAGCCCCUUGGUCUGGCUCCUUUGUCCUUGCAGCACGGCCCUUGACAUUCUUGAAAGCAUUCUUCUUGACUUUUGGUAACAGCAAGACGUUCCAGAUCUAUUCUAAUUUUUUUUCCUGCCUCAAUACAUAGAAUCCGCUCUCCGUAGAAUCCUCAUUUCUGUUAGUGAUCAGAGACCACAACCUAGGAGCCUGGGGUGCCUGUGAGUAUUGGGGUGGCGGGGGGAUGAGGCACGAGGGAUGGCAAGAGUGCCACCCUGGUGGUAAUGGGAACAGAAAAAGAUUUAUUUUUAAGGUAACGUUUUUAUACUACUCUUUCCAACUUAACAUGACAUACCUUGUAGCUUCCACCUACUUUUCUCACAGCUGAGUCAUCAGUGACCACCAAGCUUUUCUCUGCACCGCCCCCAAUGACGAGCCAUACAUUCAGCUCUCACCUAUUCUCCCCAACCCCUUCCUGCAAGGGGAAGGAAGCUGGACAGAGAUUGAUUUGGCCACUAAUAGCAACUGAGCCACCCAACUCCCCCUUAGAAGGAUGCUACCGGGCAAUGAUUUGGGUUUUAACUGUUCUUUCCAUCACACAUCCAAAGUGGGGCACGAUCAACUUUGGGUUUUGGGUGAUUUCCUCUGGUAGCUGGAUCAAGGAUGGUUCUGAGAAUGGUGGGUAGAGGUAGGAAGGUCCACUGAAGAGUCGGUUGUGGCAGAUCAGAAAGAGAGCCUUGAACCAAGGGAGCAGCAGGAGUGAGGAGGAGGACAGGGCACUGGGGAUGAUUUGGUAUCUGGAGAGUAAAGACAAGGGUGCAUCCCAUGCAUCUGGUUCUCGUCUCUGGUGGUCCCAGCCACGGAGAGAGAGAGAGAGAUUGAACGCUAGGUCUGGGGAGAGUUUGGCUUUGACCUGUUGCAUUCGAGAUGUUUCCAUUCAGAUGGAAAUGUCCAACUGGCAGUUGGACGUAUGGGUCAGAAUUUCUAACCUGAACCACCGAGGAAGCCUCCCAAGCUACGCGCAGGUGGUUUGGGGCUGUCUGUUGCCAAAGGGUGUUCUCCUGGGACCAUCAGCAGCUUGGGCUAUUUGCUUGGGAUGACUUGGAGGCUCAUCUGUUUUUCUAAUUCUCAUUUGGUCAGAGUCCUUGCCAGGAAUCCCUGAUGUUUUCACUUAACACCAGAGUUCUAAAAUCAAAAUUAGCCAACGACCCAAGAGUCUGGGAGUCAGAGAAGGGGCUGACCACCUCUCCAAGGGCCACCUCUAGAGAACAAGGUCAGGGUGGUAGAGGCCUGCAACCAAGGCACAGAGGCUUUUGAGCAAGUCCUGGCCAUUCCAGAAGAUGGUCUCUGUCUCCUGAGGUUUUCCUGAUAUGUUCUGGAGCCUCUGGCAAAACCAUCCAGGUGGCGAAUUAAGAAGGGAUUGUAAAGAAAGACCUCCUAAGCAGCCAUCCUGGGAGUGCUGUGGGGAGCAUCUGGCCUGAGCAUCACCUGCCCCCAAGACCUCGCCUUGGCCAAGAAAAGACACUCCAGCUUCUUCCCUGACUCUCUGCAGAGCUGUGCUCAUCUGAGAGUGUUGUUUGAAUUGAGACAGGCGCUAGGCAACCUGCGUUCACUCAGGAUCUGAACACAGCAACUUGGAUCUCAGUUGUUUACCUAAUCGGGUGUUAGGUUAUUUUUUUUCCCCCUUUCCUGAUUAUAAGAAAUUACCAAGUGUAAUCAACCCUCUCACCCUCAUACCAUUCUCCACACUGAGCCAGAGGAAGUCAGACCUGGAGCAGGGACAGCCCCAGGCUAACAGCUAGUCCUUCCAGCCUCAUUUCUCACCCUUUCCCAACGUAGUGAGUUCCAUGCCCUCGCUGCCUCCCCACUCACCCCAGACAACCCAUCUCAUUCCCAUCUCCCAGCCUGAGCCUCUCCCAUCUCCUCGAGUGCAGGGGCCCUUCUCACUUCUUCGUACCAACUGGGCUCUCACCCACCCGUCAAAGCUGAGCUGGGCCUCCAUUGCUCCCAGCCCACAGUAAUGGGGACCUCAUCGACUCUCCAGAACAAAGUAGAGUGUGACCCAGAGCCUGCCUUCCUAAGGCCUUUUGCCCAGAUGGAGGUACAACAUGGACUUUAAGAAUGACAUUAUGGAGUUCCCGUGGUGGCUCAGUGGUUAAUGAAUCCGACUAGGAACCAUGAAGUUGCCGGUUCGAUCCCUGCCUUUGCCCCGUGGGUUAAGGAUCCAGCGUUGCCGUGAGCUGUAGUGUAGGUUGCAGACGCAGCUUGGAUCUCGCAUUUCUAAGGCUGUGGCGUAGGCCAGCAGCUACAGCUCCAAUUCGACCCCUAGCCUGGGAACCUCCAUAUGCCACAGGAGCGGCCCUAGAAAUGGCAAAAAGACAAAAAAAAAAAAAAAAAAAAAAAAAAA
rnacentral:lncRNA from 1 species